GUAUUUUGUUUCAAGUGGUAUUAGUCGCGCGUCGCCACAGUGUUGUCAACGCAUUUAAUAUUGGUUCAUUGGACCUCAUGUAUCCCAGACAGUUACUCUGGUUUCUUAUUUGCGCAAUAUCCGUUCAAUCUCAUCUAGUGCCACCGGAGGAUACGGAGGGACACGAUCAGCUAAAGAAGUGGUGCGAGUACGCAUACUCAUGUUUCCACGACAAGGUGUAUGUGUGCGGGCGCGGCGCCAUGCAGACGCGCACCUUCCUGGACGUCUGCGACAUGUACGAGUACUCCUGCGAGACCAAUCAGAUUUUCAUUAAGAUUAAGGAGACAGACACUGAACCACGGUGUCCGGAUCCAGGGCGGUUGGGCUGAGAUGAAAAAACGUGUCUUAAUUAUCAUUAAGUACCUAUAAAUAUUUUUUACUGUUUCUAGACAGCUUACUCUUAUAACAAGCAAAUAUUUAUUUAUAAUUAAAACGCUCAGUUUGCGAUG